rnacentral:lncRNA from 1 species
CAAAAUAUAGGGAAGGGCUUCUUCUAAAAGAUCGUCCAUUUUAUCUAUUAGGAAGCACUCAACUUCCUUUGCGGGUUGAUCAGAGGCACGAAAUAUAUUUAACUUAACCUUCAUAUUUCCAAAGGAUAUAUUCAUCACCCCAGUUCUACAAUUUAUACUCGCAUUGGCUGUAGCUAAAAAGGGACGCCCAAGGAUCACGGAGAUUUGUUUCUUAGGAUUAGGCUCAUGUUCCAUAUCAAGGACGAUAAAAUCUACUGGAAAAUAGAAUUU